AUUGAACGCUGGCGGCAGGCCUAACACAUGCAAGUCGAGCGGAUGAAGCGAGCUUUCUUCUGGAUUCAGCGGCGGACGGGUGAGUAAUGCCUAGGAAUCUGCCUGGUAGUGGUGGAUAACGUCCGGAAACGGGCGCUAAUACCGCAUACGUCCUGAGGGAGCAAGUGGGGGAUCUUCGGACCUCACGCUAUCAGAUGAGCCUAGGCCGGAUUCGCUAGUUGGUGGGGUGAAGGCCUACCAAGGGGGCGAUCCGUAACUGGACUGACGGGAUGAUCAGUCACAUUGGAAGUGGGCCACGGUCCUGAGUCCUGCGGGAGGGAGCAGUGGGGAAUAUUGGGCAAUGGGGGGAAGCAUGCUCCAGCCGUGCCGCGCGUGUGAAGAAGGUCUUGGGAUUGUAAAGCAGUUUAUGUUGGGAGGAAGGGCAGUAAGUUAAUACCUUGCUGUUUUGACGUUACCAACAGAAUAAGCACCGGCUAACUUCGUG
rnacentral:rRNA from 1 species